rnacentral:lncRNA from 1 species
GCCCCUCGAUCACAAGGCUAGUCUGUCAGGUCAGCCAAAUCCACUGAAGCCAUACUGGAAGAACCUUGUGACCCUCUCACAAGAGACACACGAAGAAAUGAAGGCGGGUACAGGAGAGGAAGGGGACAAGAGGACAGAGGAAGGCUGUGGAUCCGGUCGUGGGAAGCAGUCCCAGGUGCAGGGGCCUGCAGGGGUGAGACCUGCCGAAUGUACGUAGCCCCUCCUGUGCUCAUGGCUGUGGAGACACAAGGAGCGUGCAGACCCGGACUUUGAUGAGACCCCAAACUCAGAUCCUGCAUUGCCUGUCCCCAAGGGGCCAAGGGACUCUCAGCCCUCAGCCCAAAGGCUGUCGAUAUCUCUACUGGCAAGAGUACCCCAGAGCUCACUACGUUGAGAAGACUGCUAGGCCUGAGCUGACUCCCCUGGAAACCCCAGACUCCAGUGACGUGCUUCUGGAACCUGCUCAGACAAAGUUAGGUAAGAGCCUGGGCAGUGGGUGGGUUGCAACACCCAGCCUGGCUGACCAGAAAGCUGAAGAGGACUGGAAGUUCAAGAAGAAGUAGAGAGGAGGUGGAGAGAGAGAAAGGGCAGAAGGAGGAGACAUCGAAGACCUCCCGAACAUCUUCUGUGGGAUCUCAGAGAAGGCAAAGCUCACCCUCCUGACUCCAGGACUCAUUUGCGUCCAGCCACUGAAUUAUCUACUUGUUACCCCUCCUGUGGAUCUCUCCCGAGGGAAAGAUCUACCUUGGAAGGCUGGUAAUAAAUGAUGCGGAGCUGAGCCACCUUUGGCCACAUAGAUGAAGACACCUUAGAAGAUGGCAGAGACACAAAAUGGAAAAGCCCUGGGUCUCCAUAUGAUGACAUGGUGGACAUCUGCCCUGCCAGUCUGGACCAUUCAUUUCCAGACUAUGAGUGAGAAAUAUGCUUCCAUCUUAUUUAAGCAACUGUAUUUGGGAGGGUUUUUUUGUUUUUUUGUGGUUGUUGUUGUUGUUGUUAUCGGAGCUUAGUUUUUACUCUAACAAAUACAGCUACCCAGCUCA